GACGAACGCUGGCGGCGUGCUUAACACAUGCAAGUCGAACGGUAAGGCCCUUCGGGGUACACGAGUGGCGAACGGGUGAGUAACACGUGGGUGAUCUGCCCUGCACUUCGGGAUAAGUCUGGGAAACUGGGUCUAAUACCGGAUAGGACCACUGCCUGCAUGGGUGGUGGUGGAAAGCUUUUGCGGUGUGGGAUGGGCCCGCGGCCUAUCAGCUUGUUGGUGGGGUGAUGGCCUACCAAGGCGACGACGGGUAGCCGGCCUGAGGGGGGGACCGGCCACACUGGGACUGAGAUACGGCCCAGACUCCUACGGGAGGCAGCAGUGGGGAAUAUUGCACAAUGGGCGCAAGCCUGAUGCAGCGACGCCGCGUGAGGGAUGACGGCCUUCGGGUUGUAAACCUCUUUCAGCACCGACGAAGCGCAAGUGACGGUAGGUGCAGAAGAAGGACCGGCCAACUACGUGCCAGCCGCCGCGGUAA
rnacentral:rRNA from 1 species